CGCUCAUUUACUCUGAAUCAUCAAAAUGUCAUAUACUAAACUAAUUAUAUCAAUGUAACUUUUUUUUAUAAACUUUUUCAUUUUUAUAUUAAAAAAACAAUAAAACCACAUUUAAACUAGUACCAGAAAGGAAAAAAACACGAAAUGUAAACAUACACAAAUUGCCAUUCAACUAAUGUUUUAAGUCCUAACAAAAAGCGGUUGGUUUCCAAACCCGAAUUUUGAUACAUAUUAAAGCUAUAAUUUAAUAAUUAAUUCACGCAUGAAAAGCAUCUUGUUUCUUUCUCUUUUUUUAUAAUUGUUCAUUCAAAA
rnacentral:lncRNA from 1 species